rnacentral:rRNA from 1 species
CACGAACCGGGCAAACGUUAUUCGGAAUUACUGGGCUUAAAGGGUGCGUAGGCGGCGCUGUAAGUCGGGUGUGAAAUCCCUCGGCCUAACCGAGGAAUUGCGCCCGAUACUGCAGUGCUCGAGGAAGAUAGAGGUGGGCGGAACUAGCAGUGGAGCGGUGAAAUGCGUUGAUAUUGCUGGGAACACCCGUGGCGAAAGCGGCCCACUGGGUCUUUUCUGACGCUGAUGCACGAAAGCUAGGGUAGCGAACGGG